AUUUUCCAGAAAUCCCAAGCUAAAAAUAUGACCACGAAAGUGAAGAGAAGGAAACGGAAUCCGACUGACAAAUCUGCUUUUGGGAGGUGACUAGCUGGACAACACUGUACCGAGAAGUAUAUCAUGCGAACAGAAAUUUGCCAUUUUUCAAAAUGUCUUAAAAACAGGAUUAGAUCUUUUCUUACCCUUAAAAACAGUAAAGUUGUAUGAUAAAGAAAAACCCUGGGUAGGGGUCGCGGAACCAGGGGGGAGGGGGGGGGAUUAACCAUUAAUUUAAAGACCAAAACCAUCUAUCACCUUAUUAAAACAUUAAUAUCUAUGUAACUAUAUAACAUAUUGUAAAAUAUGAUUUUCAGUUGAGGCAAUUACAUAGAGAUGUUCACAAAAUCACCCUGGCUGUUCACGAG